rnacentral:rRNA from 1 species
CACGUAGGGCGCGAGCGUUGUCCGGAAUUAUUGGGCGUAAAGAGCUCGUAGGCGGCCUGUUGCGUCCGCUGUGAAAGCCCGGGGCUUAACCCCGGGUCUGCAGUGGAUACGGGCAGGCUAGAGGUAGGUAGGGGAGAAUGGAAUUCCCGGUGUAGCGGUGAAAUGCGCAGAUAUCGGGAGGAACACCGGUGGCGAAGGCGGUUCUCUGGGCCUUACCUGACGCUGAGGAGCGAAAGCGUGGGGAGCGAACAGGAUUGAGAGUACCC